UCACUUUCAAUUACUUUUUUUUUUCUUUCAAACUUGCUUCUUCCUUUGAGAAACGCAAAAUCAAUCCCUUCCUCUCAGAAUCGCUUCUUCCUCUCAAAACCACUUCUCACUUAAUCGACUCUCAAAAUCGCAAUUCUCACUGUCAUAAUCACUUCUUCCUCACAAAUCGUUUCAUCCUUCUUCACAAAUCACUUCAUCUCAGAAUCCUGACGCUGUUUCCUCACACAUUGCAACCCGCUUCAUCUUAGAAUCCUGAUUCAAUCUCAAUCGCUACUUUGCCGCGUAAGAACUAAGGUAAUUGAGUUUUGAUUUUGCACUUUUUUUCUUCUUUUCUAAUCAUCUGAAUCGCUAUGUUUUUUAGAUUCAUAUAAUGAUUGCUAUGUUUUUGUUGUUUUUGACUCCAAAUUUGUGCCCUA
rnacentral:lncRNA from 1 species